GCACUCGUGUUCAGCACCGGAGCGCGGGUGAUGACCUUGUUGUCUUCGACCGAGACUUCAGCCGACAGGCCGUUACCGAACUGCCAGGUGUAGGCAGCCUUGGUGAUGCCGGUCAGGUUGUCCGAACCGCCGAGGAGGAACGAGGUGUUGUUGUUCGCACCAACCGAAGCCCAUGGGGUCUGGAAGGUCGAAGCGGCCUUACCGAAGGUGAAGCCGGCAAACUGGACGAAGCCG
rnacentral:misc_RNA from 1 species